rnacentral:lncRNA from 1 species
CAGCUUGCCGGAGCCCGGCCUCUUCUCCUGGGAGCCGGAGAGCAACCUGCUGCCCAUCAUCAUCGGGGUUGCUGUCGCUACACUCAUCAUCAUUGUGGUGAUCGCUGGCUUUGCGGUCUGGAAUAGCAGAUCGGGGAGGAGGGAGAAGGGGUAUGCGCCGGCACAGGGAGCAACCCCGACAGUUAAGCGCUGAAGCACUGAACUUGGCUCUAUGGGAUGUUCGAAAUGCUCCACGACAACCCAUAGGACUAACACCAGCAGAAAUUCUCUUUGGGAGACAUUCAGCUAUACCAGGGACUUAUAUCCCGGCUGUUAGAGAAUAUUGGAGUGAAGCUGCCUAG